AUUGANCGCUGGCGGAAUGCUUUACACAUGCAAGUCGAACGGCAGCACGGGUGCUUGCACCUGGUGGCGAGUGGCGAACGGGUGAGUAAUAUAUCGGAACGUAUCCAAUAAUGGGGGAUAACUAGUCGAAAGAUUGGCUAAUACCGCAUACGCCCUGAGGGGGAAAGCUGGGGAUCUUCGGACCUAGCGUUAAUGGAGCGGCCGAUAUCAGAUUAGCUAGUUGGUGGGGUAAAGGCCUACCAAGGCGACGAUCUGUAGCUAGUCUGAGAGGACGACCAGCCACACUGGAACUGAGACACGGUCCAGACUCCUACGGGAGGCAGCAGUGGGGAAUUUUGGACAAUGGGGGAAACCCUGAUCCAGCCAUUCCGCGUGAGUGAAGAAGGCCUUCGGGUUGUAAAGCUCUUUCGCAAGGGAAGAAACGAUACGGGCUAAUAUCCCGUUGUUAAUGACGGUACCUUGAUAAGAAGCACCGGCUAACUACGUGCCAGCAGCCGCGGUAAUACGUAGGGUGCGAGCGUUAAUCGGAAUUACUGGGCGUAAAGCGUGCGCAGGCUGUUUUGUAAGUCAGAUGUGAAAUCCCCGGGCUCAACCUGGGAACUGCGUUUGAAACUGCAAGACUAGAAUAUGUCAGAGGGGGGUAGAAUUCCACGUGUAGCAGUGAAAUGCGUAGAGAUGUGGAGGAAUACCAAUGGCGAGGGCAGCCCCCUGG
rnacentral:rRNA from 1 species